rnacentral:tRNA from 1 species
AGCAUCCUACUUGGUUAGAGCAUCUGACUGUUAAUCAGAGGGUCCUUGGUUCGAGUCCUAGAGGGGGAGCAGCCA